rnacentral:rRNA from 1 species
UGGAGAUCGUGCACACUGGAGAGACUGCACGCGUAAGUGUGAGGAAGGUGCAGGCCACGGUAGGUCAGUAUGACCUGAAUCCGCUGGGCUACACGCGGCAGGCAAUGGUUGAUACAACGGGAUGCAACUCCGAGAGGAGAAGCUAAUCCCUUAAAGUUAAUCUUGUUUGAAUCGAGGGCUGCAACCCGCCCUCGUGAAAGCGAAAUCCCUAGUAAACGUGCGUUAGCAUCGUGCGUUGAAUACGUCCCUGUUCCUUGCACUCACUGCCUGUCAACUCAUCCAAGUGAGGUUUGGAUGAGGCUUUAUCAUCUGGUAGAGUCGAAUCUGAGCUUCGUGAGGCGGAGUAAGUCAACACAAGGUAUCUGUAGGGGAACCUGCAGAUGGAUCACCUCCU